AGUGCUAAAUAACAAAUGUCCUUAAAAUUUAGACACUGAAGAGAAUAAACAUUUAUACUCCUAUGGCUAUUGUGGGUCAGAAAUGAAGAAGCAGGUUAACUGGGUGAGGGUGUCUUGUGAAGUUGUGAUCAAGGGAUCAGCUGGGACUACAACACCUGAGGCUUCCCUGGGAGAAGAGGAUCUGCUUCAAGAUAGGUCUCUUCCUAGCUGGUGGCAGGAGCCUCAAGUUUCUUGAUCACGGCCACUCCACAGGUCAGCUUGAGUGCCCUCAGGGCACUAGCUGGAUUUGGACAGCAAGCAAUCUGAAAGAGAGAGAGCUGGCAAGUGCUACAGGAUGUUUUAUGACCUCUUCUUAGAAGUCACACAUUUGAAGAUGAGCAAGGUAGAACCAAGCAUGUUGAACAGACUAGAGGCUUCUCUCAACAGCUCAUUUUCUGAUAUGGUGAUACUCCCAGGACUGGGGCCACUUGGCUGAAUAGUAGCCUGAGCAAGAGAUAGGAUACAAAGCUUGUCCUUCCUUUCCUCCAAAAGCUUCAACUUUAUCAAUGAAUUUAAUGCAUGCUUACACUUAGAGACACACUUCUUUUGAAAAAGGAAACAUCUUUAAAAUGAAUGAAUAAGUUAGUUUAGAUAAUUAUACUUGGGUGUGUUCUGGUCCAGUAGAUAUUUGAAGAGCAAGCAUACUUGAUGAGGAAGUAGACUCGAUAGAGGAGACAGUGAAGGACUUCGGGGCAGGUUAGAACAAGGGCAACCUGACCUCUUGGGCAGAAAAUCCAGCACCUGGAGAGAGUACUAAAAAGGAAGGUGGAACACAGGGUGAUUUUCAGCCUCUGAAGCUGCUUUCAAGUGUCCUGUGACCUCUAAUUGAAAUGACAUAGAAAGGUAUCACCUGGCCUCCUGGAGAAAGAUGCUACUUCUGCUCCUAUGAUGAGAUCACUCCCCUGGCCCCCGUUUGAGUCAUUACCAGUGAAAAUACAGGAGAACUUGACAAAGGCAGAGACCAAAAAUUUGUCCCUGGAGCCUGGAACCAUCUGGAAGAAACACAAGUUUUCCCUCUGCCUGGGUGCUGCCAGAACGGAAGCCAGCACGGCUCACCCACAUGGAAUUUGUUUUUUUGCUUGGCUCCGGGGGUGCUUGACCCCCCAGAUGCCUCCAGUGAUGUUUCCUUUGGGGAGAUUAGUUGCAUAACAGUGGUAAGGAAGGUACCAGAGGCGAAUUUUAAAUAGUUCAUUACAUAGGAAGUGUCAGCAGAAGUGGAAUCCCUUUCUUGCAAAGCCCAGUGAGGAGGGCACUUCCAUCGCAGAGACUAGAUGUUCCCCUAUCCAGCCACAAUACUGGCACUUCCGGGUACCCAGCUUUCGGGGCACAACUCUCCCAAUUCUGGUGCCCCAGUUGUGGGCACAACCGUGGCAUUAUCUAUAUCAGAGCCCCCCGACCUGUGGGCCAUGGACCCAUACUGGUCCCAUGGCCUGUUAGGAACUGGGCUACAUAGCAGGAGGUAAGCAGCAGGCCAUGGAGCAAGGCUUCAUCUUUUUGGGGCUUCAUCAUAUUUACAACCUCUCCCCGUCACUCAUAUUACUGCCUGAACUCCCCCUCAGCUCUGCUUCCUGUCAGAAGCACAGUAGCACAAUAAAUAUAGUGCACUUGAAUCAUCCAAAACCAU
ensembl:lincRNA